CUCGCAAAAAUAUGCAGUAUUAUGGGAUUUACUAUGUUGUGAAUAACAUAAUUUUCUCAUGCACGUUAUAUAUGCAUAAUGCAUCAUUUGCAUAUUAUCACUAUUAAUUCCAAGCAAGUUUAUGUGACAUUUUGCCACAUUUUUAGAAAACCAGCAAACACAAGUAUUUAAUUGCGACCAUUAGGCAAAUCAAGGAGAGCAGAAAAAUGAAUG